rnacentral:rRNA from 1 species
GGGCCCGCACAAGCGGUGGAGUAUGUGGUUUAAUUCGAUGCAACGCGAAGAACCUUACCAGGGUUUGACAUCCUGCGAAUCUCUUGGAAACAGGAGAGUGCCUUCGGGAACGCAGUGACAGGUGGUGCAUGGCUGUCGUCAGCUCGUGUCGUGAGAUGUUGGGUUAAGUCCCGCAACGAGCGCAACCCUCAUCCCUAGUUGCCAUCAUUCAGUUGGGCACUCUAAGGAAACUGCCGGUGAUAAGCCGGAGGAAGGUGGGGAUGACGUCAAAGUCCUCAUGGCCCUUACGCGCUGGGCUACACACGUGCUACAAUGGCAAGUACAGUGGGCAGCAACCCCUGCGAGGGUAGCUAAUCUCCAAAACUUGUCUC